AGACCCGAAACCCGGUGAUCUAGCCAUGGGCAGGUUGAAGGUUGGGUAACACUAACUGGAGGACCGAACCGACUAAUGUUGAAAAAUUAGCGGAUGACCUGUGGCUGGGGGUGAAAGGCCAAUCAAACCGGGAGAUAGCUGGUUCUCCCCGAAAGCUAUUUAGGUAGCGCCUCGUGAACUCAUCUCCGGGGGUAGAGCACUGUUUCGGCUAGGGGGCCAUCCCGGCUUACCAACCCGAUGCAAACUGCGAAUACCGGAGAAUGUUAUCACGGGAGACACACGGCGGGUGCUAACGUCCGUCGUGAAGAGGGAAACAACCCAGACCGCCAGCUAAGGUCCCAAAGUCAUGGUUAAGUGGGAAACGAUGUGGGAAGGCCCAGACAGCCAGGAUGUUGGCUUAGAAGCAGCCAUCAUUUAAAGAAAGCGUAAUAGCUCACUGGUCGAGUCGGCCUGCGCGGAAGAUGUAACGGGGCUAAACCAUGCACCGAAGCUGCGGCAGCGAACGUAUCACCCAAGACAACUUUGCGGAGUUGACGAUUGACGGAGCGAAGCGACGUCAAAGCGUUCAUUAAAGUCGAGUUGGCUUAGGGAUACGUUCGUUGGGUAGGGGAGCGUUCUGUAAGCCAGUGAAGGUGUGUCGUGAGGCAUGCUGGAGGUAUCAGAAGUGCGAAUGCUGACAUAAGUAACGAUAAAGCGGGUGAAAAGCCCGCUCGCCGGAAGACCAAGGGUUCCUGUCCAACGUUAAUCGGGGCAGGGUGAGUCGACCCCUAAGGCGAGGCCGAAAGGCGUAGUCGAUGGGAAACGGGUUAAUAUUCCCGUACUUGGUGUUACUGCGAAGGGGGGACGGAGAAGGCUAUGUUGGCCGGGCGACGGUUGUCCCGGUUUAAGCGUGUAGGUGUGUGUUCCAGGUAAAUCCGGUUCACUUUAACACUGAGGCGUGAUGACGAGGCACUACGGUGCUGAAGUAACAAAUGCCCUGCUUCCAGGAAAAGCCUCUAAGCAUCAGGUAACAUCAAAUCGUACCCCAAACCGACACAGGUGGU
rnacentral:rRNA from 1 species